ACCACAGCUGUGUCAGAACGAUCUCUGCAAAAACAGGAGGACAGGAAAAAAGUUAUCAGUUAUUGACAUAACUUGACAGCUAACUUAUGACUGCCUAAAGGAUAACAUUUUCAACUAUAAUUGUUUAUAGAGAGACUUAUAUUAAAGUGUCUAUAUUAAACCUACAGGAAAUGUAGUGUAAACCCAUUUUUGUGGCUUUGUGCAAGAGACUGUUUGUGAUUCCAGUAAUAAUUUUAUAUUUUAAGUAUACUUACACAAUGAACGUCCUGCCAGCAGGUUUUACUCCACCAAUCGGAGUACGGCGGACGAUCACGGACGAGUGUUUCGGGAUAUGGGCUUCAUCAUCUGUGUAUUCUACAAAACAUGACAAACAGCAGCAGGUCCUCCACAGACCGGAGUGGGUCAGGACCUCCUCGUUCUUGUGGACGGUCUCGUUGUCACCCAGGCUCUUGGAGCGGCACAUCCCGCGGGAGUACAGCCAGUAGUCCGUGCCCACGGCGAUAGUCAUGAGGCUGAAGGCGCAGAAAGCCCCCGCCGUGGUCAGUAGCAUCAUCACACCCCGGUUACACAGCCUCAUGUCGGCCCAGCCUCCUCCUCCUCCUCCUCCUCCUCCACAGCGAGAAGUCCUCCACUAGACAGAGACCAGCGGGGUUUAGAAACUGUUAAAAACUUUCCCCCCGGUGUCUUAUCUUUGGUUGGAUCCAGUCGGCGGAAGGAAAAUCAGAUUUCGUGGACAUCUUCUGCAACCUGCGCUAUACUCGUAUAGUUGGAUAAUUGUGCAGAUUUCGGGACGGGUCAUUGUCCCCCAAGAUACAUGCAGACUUGGUUAACUGAGUUGCGAUGUUUCCAUGUCAAGGGCGCAGUAGAGGAUCACGAGAUGUUGCUGUUCAGUCAGUGGUACAAUAGAAGAAUAAAGCCGAGGUGCGAAAAGUGGAAAAGGCCAAAAUCCUCGAUAAAACCAAAAAUGGUGUUGGGAGAAAACAACGACAGCAGCUCUCAUGUGUGGACGCGUUCAAGUUUGUUGUAGCUCAGCUCUGUAUGGCAUUAACUGCAGGAUGAUCCCGCCUUCCAACUUGUGUGUAUGUGUGAUCCUGUCACUGAGCACACACAUGGUCAGGUCUGACCACUUCGCAGUGCUCACUAGUUCAGCAUCAUGGACAGCAGCACAGUACUGACCACGAGGGCGCAGGUUUGGUUUCAGUUUAAGAUUAAAUUAGUUGUCAUGCUUUCCAUAAUACAUUAAUACUAGGAUGCCAAAAAAGCCAUAUGAAUUGCUGCGUUAUGCACUAAACCAAGAGAUAAAUACUGAUAAAUACUGUUAUAGGCUAUAAAAACAUUUUGACAAAACAAAUUCGAGCUACCAUUUCCAAUGUCAACAAUGAGCCUUCAAACACAAUAAAUAAUGUUUUAUUUCUAUCUUUACUACAAAAAUCAGAGUCUUUUAUUGCAAUAUAUUUGAUUGAUUAUCAGUUCCAGCGUUUUUAGGAUAGUUAUUUGUAAAUAAAAACAGCUAAAUUAUGUUUUAACCGAAAA